CCCCGCCCCCCCUUAUCUGUUAUUCUGUAUACUUUAAAUCUGCAUUCCAGCUGUUGGUAGCAAAAGAAAAUGGGAGAGGGAAAACUGCAAAGCUACUUGUCUAUGGAGAUUCUCAGUCAUCCAGGUCAUGGUUGUCCCAAAGGUUCUUUUUCCAGAGGUUUAUCUGUGUUGUCAAGGUCAUCUGAGUAGCGCAAACGGGUGUGGAGCCUUCUUGGAAUUGUUGACUGUGUUGUAGACUGGAGUUAGAUGAUGUCAUAGUUUUCCCCCUGUUGAGAAAGGGCUGUUCAAUUUUGACAUAGAGGGCCUCUUUGACCUGUCUUUCAAACAAGCCAGUCCUCUCUGUCCAAAAUUUGGACUUUGUUGUCUUCAAAAGAAUGGCCUCUGUCUUUUAAAUACAGAUGGACUGCUGAAUCUAGUCCUGAUGGCUUUGUAUGUUGGGUCAAAUAACAAAGCUACUUCUCCAAAGAUUAUUGGCAAACUGCAAGGGAGUAUAGAAAUUGCAGGAAGUGGCUCCUUCCAAUGGGAAACUGCCCAUUGUAAAACUCUUGUGUUCCCGCUUUUCUUUGGGGCAGUUACUGAAUUGAAUUGAUUUGAGUCAACUUGAAAAGACUCCAUAAAUCCAAUUGCAUCAUAGAGAUCCAGAAAUGUAGCACUGCUUGCAGAUUAUUUGUUGUGGAAGGGGGUUGUGUACCUUAAUGAUUAAGUGGCUAUAAGAGGGACAGUAACAGCUGUGAGAAAAUGUGGUAGGCCAGCACAGGUUGGCAUGUCCUAUUGCUGGCUGAACAGUACUGAAUUUAGGCCUUACUAACACCUGUGUUUCACACCUGACAGUAUGAAUUCAAAGCCAAAAGUAUAAAGAAGAAGAAAGUGAAUCUGUUGGUAUCUGUAGAUGGGGUGAAAGUGGUACUGAAGAAGAAGAAGAAGAAGAAAGAGUGGGACUGGGAUGACAGCAAGCUACUGGUGAUGCAUGACCCAAUCUACAGGAUAUUUUAUGUGUCCCACGAUUCCCAAGACCUGAAGAUCUUCAGUUAUAUUGCAAGAGAUGGCUCCAGUAACAUCUUCCGCUGUAAUGUUUUCAAGUCCAAGAAAAAGGUA